rnacentral:rRNA from 1 species
GAUGAACGCUGGCGGCGUGCCUAAUACAUGCAAGUAGAACGCUGAAGCUUGGUGCUUGCACCGAGCGGAUGAGUUGCGAACGGGUGAGUAACGCGUAGGUAACCUGCCUGGUAGCGGGGGAUAACUAUUGGAAACGAUAGCUAAUACCGCAUAACAGUAGAUAUUGCAUGAUAUCUGCUUGAAAGGUGCAAAUGCAUCACUACCAGAUGGACCUGCGUUGUAUUAGCUAGUUGGUGAGGUAACGGCUCACCAAGGCGACGAUACAUAGCCGACCUGAGAGGGUGAUCGGCCACACUGGGACUGAGACACGGCCCAGACUCCUACGGGAGGCAGCAGUAGGGAAUCUUCGGAAAUGGGGGGAACCCUGACCGAGCAACGCCGCGUGAGUGAAGAAGGGUUUCGGAUCGUAAAGCUCUGUUGUAAGAGAAGAACGAGGGUGAGAGUGGAAAGUUCACACUGUGACGGUAUCUUACCAGAAAGGGACGGCUAACUACGUG